rnacentral:rRNA from 1 species
AGAGUUUGAUCAUGGCUCAGAUUGACGCGCUGGCGGCAUGCCUUACACAUGCAAGUCGAACGGCAGCAUAGGAGCUUGCUCCUGAUGGCGAGUGGCGAACGGGUGAGUAAUAUAUCGGAACGUGCCCUAGAGUGGGGGAUAACUAGUCGAAAGACUAGCUAAUACCGCAUACGAUCUACGGAUGAAAGUGGGGGAUCGCAAGACCUCAUGCUCCUGGAGCGGCCGAUAUCUGAUUAGCUAGUUGGUGGGGUAAAAGCCUACCAAGGCAACGAUCAGUAGCUGGUCUGAGAGGACGACCAGCCACACUGGGACUGAGACACGGCCCAGACUCCUACGGGAGGCAGCAGUGGGGAAUUUUGGACAAUGGGGGCAACCCUGAUCCAGCAAUGCCGCGUGAGUGAAGAAGGCCUUCGGGUUGUAAAGCUCUUUUGUCAGGGGAGAAACGAUGGUAGCGAAUAACUACUACUAAUGACGGUACCUGAAGAAUAAGCACCGGCUAACUACGUGCCAGCAGCCGCGGUAAUAAU